rnacentral:rRNA from 1 species
GCCUCGUGAACUCAUCUUCGGGGGUAGAGCACUGUUUCGGCUAGGGGGUCAUCCCGACUUACCAACCCGAUGCAAACUACGAAUACCGAAGAAUGUUAUCACGGGAGACACACGGCGGGGGCUAACGUCCGUCGUGAAGAGGGAAACAACCCAGACCGCCAGCUAAGGUCCCAAAGUCAUGGUUAAGUGGGAAACGAUGUGGGAAGGCACAGACAGCCAGGAUGUUGGCUUAGAAGCAGCCAUCAUUUAAAGAAAGCGUAAUAGCUCACUGGUCGAGUCGGCCUGCGCGGAAGAUGUAACGGGGCUAAACCAUGCACCGAAGCUGCGGCAGCGACACUAUGUGUUGUUGGGUAGGGGAGCGUUCUGUAAGCCUGCGAAGGUGUGCUGUGAGGCAUGCUGGAGGUAUCAGAAGUGCGAAUGCUGACAUAAGUAACGAUAAAGCGGGUGAAAAGCCCGCUCGCCGGAAGACCAAGGGUUCCUGUCCAACGUUAAUCGGGGCAGGGUGAGUCGACCCCUAAGGCGAGGCCGAAAGGCGUAGUCGAUGGGAAACAGGUUAAUAUUCCUGUACUUGGUGUUACU